rnacentral:misc_RNA from 1 species
AACCUAGCACACCUGCGGUGUGUACCUGCGGAAGGAUCAUUAAAGAGUAAGGGUGCUCAGCGCCCGACCUCCAACCCUCUGUUGUUAAAACUACCUUGUUGCUUUGGCGGGACCGCUCGGUCUCGAGCCGCCGGGGAUUCGUCCCAGGCGAGCGCCCGCCAGAGUUAAACCAAACUCUUGUUAUUUAAACCGGUCGUCUGAGUUAAAAAUUUUGAAUAAAUCAAAACUUUUAACAACGGA